AGAAACCGCACAUAAUUCGGGUUUCGAGACGAUGAAACCGUAUGUACAAUUGGUUCGUUGUCGACGAAACCUGCAAAAUGUGCGGCGAACUCCAACUGGAAAAAAUCU
rnacentral:pre_miRNA from 1 species